UACGAAGGGAGCUAGCGUUGUUCGGAAUCACUGGGCGUAAAGCGCACGUAGGCGGAUGUGUCAGUCAGGGGUGAAAUCCCGGAGCUCAACUUCGGAACUGCCUUUGAUACAGCACGUCUUGAGUCCGAUAGAGGUGGGUGGAAUUCCUAGUGUAGAGGUGAAAUUCGUAGAUAUUAGGAAGAACACCGGUGGCGAAGGCGGUCUGCUGGGCAGUUGCUGACACUGAGGCGCGACAGCGUGGGGAGCAAACAGG
rnacentral:rRNA from 1 species